GAUGAACGCUAGCGGCAGGCUUAAUACAUGCAAGUCGAGGGGCAGCACAGGUAGCAAUACUGGGUGGCGACCGGCAAACGGGUGCGGAACACGUACACAACUUACCUUCUGGUGGGGGAUAGCCUUUGGAAACGGAGAUUAAUACCCCAUAUUAUAUAUGAGCUGCAUGGUUUGUAUAUUAAAGAUUUAUUGCCGGAAGAUGGGUGUGCGUAUGAUUAGGUAGUUGGCGGGGUAACGGCCCACCAAGCCGACGAUCAUUAACUGGUGUGAGAGCGCGACCAGUCACACGGGCACUGAGACACGGGCCCGACUCCUACGGGAGGCAGCAGUAAGGAAUAUUGGUCAAAGGACGGAAGUCUGAACCAGCCAUGCCGCGUGGAGGAUGAAGGUCCUCUGGAUUGUAAACUUCUUUUAUAGGGGGCGAAAAAAGGGAAUUCUUUCUCGUCUGACGGUACCCUAUGAAUAAGCACCGGCUAACUCCGUGCCAGCCGCCGCCGUAAAAC
rnacentral:rRNA from 1 species